ACGACUCUCGGCAAUGGAUAUCUCGGCUCUCGCAUCGAUGAAGAACGUAGCGAAAUGCGAUACUUGGUGUGAAUUGUAGAAUCCCGCGAACCAUCGAGUCUUUGAACGCAAGUUAUGCCCGAGGCCACCCGGUCGAGGGCAUGCCUGCCUGGGCGUCAUGC
rnacentral:rRNA from 1 species